UGCAUCGGCCGGGAAUCGAAUCGAACCCGGGGCGCCCGCGUGGCAGGCGAGCAUUCUACCACUGAACCAAAAGC